GCCAGGUGUGAUGGCCCACACCUGUAGUCUCAGCUACUUGGAGGCUGAGGCAAGGGGAUCACUUGAGCCUGGGAGGUCAAGGCUGCAGUGAGCUAUGAUCAAGCCACUGCACUCCAACCUGGAUGACAAAGUGAGACCCUGCCUCAA
rfam:Gorilla gorilla gorilla genomic chromosome, chr4, whole genome shotgun sequence